GGGCGAUUAGCUCAGCGGUAGAGCACCUCCCUUACAAGGAGAUUGUCGCUGGUUCGAUCCCAGCAUCGCCCA
rfam:Synechococcus WH7803 complete genome sequence.